ACUUGAUACUGUUUAAAAAAUCUGGAGUGAUAACAGGAUUGUUAAGUGAAUUAGAAUCUGUAGGAUCUAUGGAAUCAGCAGAUAGAUAAAUUCUUUCCUCGGCUGAA
rnacentral:sRNA from 1 species